ensembl:snoRNA
GGCAGAUGAUGUCUGUUUUCAUGAUGGUCUUCAGAUGCCCACCAUGGGCACUGCUGAGUGCCACCUGACAAAACUCAUGCUGGAAA